rnacentral:lncRNA from 1 species
CCGGACAUAAUCUCCACACGAAGUUAUCGGGUCUUACCCGGACAAAAUUCCCACACGUAGUCAUCGGGCCUUUAGAGCUCAGAUAUAGUACGAGCACAAAGCUUACGGACAUUAAUCAGUGAUAAUAUUCUCGCAUAAAGCCUGCGGGGUUUUAACCCGGAUAUAGUACUGACACAAAUGCCCUUCGGGACUUAUCACAUUUAUGCACUUUCACAUCCAUCACGUUGGCCACUCGGCCCUGUC